rnacentral:rRNA from 1 species
ACUCCUACGGGAGGCAGCAGUGGGGAAUUUUGGACAAUGGGCGAAAGCCUGAUCCAGCAAUGCCGCGUGAGUGAAGAAGGCCUUCGGGUUGUAAAGCUCUUUUGUCAGGGAAGAAACGGUGAGAGCUAAUAUCUUUUGCUAAUGACGGUACCUGAAGAAUAAGCACCGGCUAACUACGUGCCAGCAGCCGCGGUAAUACGUAGGGUGCAAGCGUUAAUCGGAAUUACUGGGCGUAAAGCGUGCGCAGGCGGUUUUGUAAGUCUGAUGUGAAAUCCCCGGGCUCAACCUGGGAAUUGCAUUGGAGACUGCAAGGCUAGAAUCUGGCAGAGGGGGGUAGAAUUCCACGUGUAGCAGUGAAAUGCGUAGAUAUGUGGAGGAACACCGAUGGCGAAGGCAGCCCCCUGGGUCAAGAUUGACGCUCAUGCACGAAAGCGUGGGGAGCAAACAGGAUUAGAAACCCCAGUAGUCCCAUGA